GUUAAUUAUUUUUUUAAAAAAUCAGAUGCAACGAUUUCAUGCUCAGCUGUCUCCACUCACUGGGUAGAGCUGGGGGCUGCGGCUGGGGAAUGGCCACUCAUGCUCCCGGACCCCAUGGAGAGAACUUCUGAGUGCUGCUUUCAGGAACUCCAAGAUGGUGUGCGUCUUUAUCUUUCUCUCUCUGAUGUGGAGGAGAUGUAGGCCACUCCAGGGAAGCCCCAGGAGCAUCUGGAAGGAGCUUUGCCCCCAGUCUGCCUCCUUACCUACCUGACAGGGAGGGACCUGCCAGCCCGUGGGCACACGUGGGGACACACGGGCAGCAGCCGGCCGGGCUCAGCCUCAGCAGGAGCUGGAGUCGAGUCCUAAGUGCAGGAUCCCUGCCAGGCUCUGAGGGGGAGAUUUUGGGUAUUUUACCCUGGUGCUUUGAAAAUGGCAUCUUGGAUGGUGACAUCUAUGCACUCGCACGGUGACGGGCCGUUUGAGAGCUGACGAUACCCCAUCUGGUUUGGCAGGACCCCCAGCACCCGGUAACCUGUUCACAUAGGGGCUCAGUAGUGUUUGUGGAAUGGAUGAUGAAGAAGCGCCGUGGCCCAGCUCAUCUGGAGAACUCUCUGUUCGUGAUCCUUGUUGACUGAUUUGUGUAGCUUCCCACCCUUUAAACCUCAGGGCUGUUCAUGGGCCUCUCCUGUUGGCCCCCUUGGGGCACCUCGAAGACCCGCGUGGUGGUCUGAGCCUGGUGCUGGGUCUUCCUGCCUCUCGAGCUCCUCUGUCCCUCGAGUUCCUCUUGCUCCCUCCCCUGGAACGGCCUCUGUGUUGGAGUAACUACUCAGGCGGUGAGGUGGUGGUGCUGACAGCUGAACGCAUUGGUCACCAUCUGGUUGUCCACUGCCGCACAACACCUGAUCAGCCUAUCGUGGGGGCGUCAGACAAGCAUUUUCCUCAUGGUGCUGUGGGUCAGGAACUCGAGAAGGGCUCAGCUGGGCAGUUCUGCUUCCUGGGUCCCAGCUGGGUUUACUGGGCUGGGUCAGCCGAUGGCCAGGCCAGAAGCUGGUACCCACCACAUGGUGUCCCAUUUGCUAAGGUCUCCAUGUGGCUGGGUAUGCCACAGCAUGGGGUCCUGGAGCAGCCCCCUGCUUAUGGGAGGGACCUGCCAGCCUGGCUUCUAAGAGUGAGAAAACAAGCCUCCCGUGCUUCAGAGGCCAGGCCUGCACUGUCAGGGUGUCCCUUCCAGUACAGUGUCCCAGCAGCCAUGGGUCACCAGAGUCAGGUGAGGGAGGAACAGCUGUGUCCCCUUGGUGUGGGAGUGGCCUGUACAUACAGGAGAGUGGGCUGGUGGUGGCCAUCUCUGGAGACUUUCUGUCACACAGUAGCAUGUCUUGUUGUAGCCACGUUGGUUUUCCUGAGGGUCUGGGAAGACCCCAAGUCAUUAGAGCUGAGCACCUGUACACUGGUGAUCAUGCCAGGAUGUGCCCCGUGAUUAUAGUCGGAGGAGAGAGGAGAGCAAAGCUCUGCAUGUUUUGAAGGAGUAGAGAAGACUAUCAAGAGAACAGAUGAAAGACAGAAUAGGAGAUUGGAUUCUAAGGUUGGGUAUUUACAUUAGACAUUUAUAGAACCUUCUAUAAUACCUGAAUUUUUCCACAUCACACAUUUAUAUUUAAGUGUGUCAUCUGCUGUAUCUGCAUGUGCACCACACGGCACAGAAUGUUUUGCUGAGUACUUGCUAUCUACCAGGCAUUGGGCUGAGUCUCAAAGCAAACCUGGCCCCUGAAUUUUAUGAAUUAAUCCUUUAUUAAACGGUUUGGGUAAAGGGGGAUCAUUUUCAAGUUGACUCAUGUAGGAAUAAAUGGUAAUAUCAAUGCUUGCAGAUUCAGGCAGGCAUUCAACAGCUUGCCUGGGAAGGAAGCAGGGUUGGGCAACUCUGAAGAUCUAGGACAGAAGUGAGGAUUGUUCUAAGAGCUAAGGAAGGACAGCAGUGGCCAGGAGAGUGGGGUGGAAGGAUGUGGAGAGACUGGGAUGAUUGCAUAUGGAAACCCACUUGCUUCUGUGGAAAGUUGAAUUUUACUUCCAUGCAAAAGAAGGCUCUGAGGAGAUUUAACACCAAGAGGAACGUGCCUGGGGUGCUCCUUCCCCCGGCACUGAGUUACAGCGAGGCUGCAUGGGAAGGGCUUGGGCAAUCUGGUGGGGCUGUCAAGGUGCUAGGCACUUGUCCAGGCCUGGUGUUCGUAGAGACGCUGUCUGUGUUAGUUAGUCGUUUUGUCUUUACUUAUGGAUUUUUUUGGGGUGGAAAGCCAAUUUAGGAUUGUGAUGAAGCUGCCCCACGCCACACCUCAUCCAGACCCCCCUCUGGGACAUGCACAGAAUAGACAGAGGGUGCCAGAAAGGAACAUGGCCCGGGUCUUCUGAGAAACCCAGUGCCCUGGGGUCAGGAGAGUUGAGAGUGUUGGGGAUACUGGACAAGCUGUCCAGACUCUCAGGUUGUUUGUGGAACUUGACCCCUAACCUGUGAGGUCACGGGGGUCGGUGGGUCUGAGCAGUGGGGUCAUG
rnacentral:lncRNA from 1 species